CAUACUCUAUCAACAAACUUGUACUUACGCUGACAAAUCGACGAAAGGCGAUUUGGGAACCAGACGAACGAACAGAGAGAAGUGAUCGUCUUUGAAACAUUGUAAAGCAGUUACGGGCUUAUUAGGGGGGUUUGGUUCUGGUUAUGUGUUUUUAUACUGAUAUCGGAAGUUCAUCGUAAUCGUGACUGAUUUAGCGAGAUUUAAAACACAUCAAUAUUUU